rnacentral:lncRNA from 1 species
GAGAGAGAGAGAGGCAGUGGGGAGAGAAACAGAUGAAUGGGUAUGGGGGAGUUGGAACUCCCCCUGCCUGGGUCUUAACCCCAUGCGCCCUCGGCAGCGCGGUAGUAUCGCACCUCAUCGCGGUAGUACCGCUUGGGCGGAAGUGCCGCACCGAAGAGGUAGUACUGCUCCCCCAGGCGGCAGUAAAAAAUUAUUGCCACGCUGGGUGCGGAAGUACCAUGCACUCCACAAGCGGUAGUACCGUGGCAGGCCGCGGUAGUACUGUGAGCUCAAAACGAUGCAAGUUUCAAACAAAAAAAGAAAGGGGCUACGCAAGAAAACAUCAAGCGAACGAGGCACCGCAAGAACACGCUCACCACGAAGAAAGAAAGAAAGGCAAGAGACAACAAGGACCAACCACGAGACACAACCUCUCCAAGGAGAGGGCGGUGGCCGGAGCCACCUAUGUUUGAGUCAAUUGGUAUGGCACCGUGAAGAAUUAUCCUUGGGCCCAUGACCAAAACUUGUCUUCGAGGCACAAGUGCCAUCAAAAAUGGGUAAUGUUAAAGAGUUGAUCAAUUUAUGCAUAAUGGUGGGAGGGAGAGUUCAUUGAGAGAACAACACUCCCACUAUGUCCAUGCCUACACCUAAACAAUAUAACAAGUUGAGUAUGGUGGGGUGUGCAUGGGUUCAAGCAACAUUGCUCGAAUCAAUGAUAUUUAGCUCAUGCCUUAACUCGCGAAAUCUUGCUUCAUCCAAGGGCUUCGUGAAGAUAUCUGCAAGGUUAUCAAGAGUGUUGACAUAGUUGAGUUUGAUCUCCCCUCGCCUAAUAUGAUCCCGGAUGAAGUGAUACCGGAUCUCAAUAUGCUUCAUCUUGAAGUGUUGCACCGGGUUGAGAGAAAUCUUGAUUGCACUUUCAUUGUCACACCAAAGAGGCACUUUGUCACAAAUGACACUGUAAUCCUUUAAAGUUUGCCUCAUCCAUAAGAGUUUUGCACAACAACUACCAGCCGCUACAUACUCCGCUUCAGUGGACGAGAGAGACACGCAACUUUGCUUCUUGGAAGACCAACUCACCAAAGAGCAACCAAGAAAUUGGCACCAUCCGGAAGUGGACUUCCUAUCCACUUUGUCUCCUGCCCAAUCCGAGUCCAAAUAACCUACAAGCUUGAAGUUUGCUCCUCUUGGGUACCAUAAGCCAAAGUUUGGGGUAUGAGCCAAAUAUCAAAAGAUUCGCUUGACCACCAUGAAGUGACUUUCCUUAGGUGCGACUUGAAACCAUGCACAAAUUCCCACACUCAACAUGAUAUCCGGUCUAGAUGCACAAAGGUAAAGCAAGGAUCCAAUCAUGGAGCGAUAUACCUUUUGAUCCACUGCUUUACCAUUGGGAUCUAUGUCAAGUUGGCAUUUGACGGGCAUAGGAGUGGAUGCCGGCUUGACAUCACUUAGCUUGAAUCUCUUGAGCAUGUCUUGAGUGUAUUUGGCUUGGUUGAUGAAGGUUCCUUCUCUUCUUUGCUUCACUUCGAACCCGAGAAAGAACUUCAACUCUCCCAUGGAAGACAUCUCGAACUUUGAGGUCAUGAGAGCGGCAAAUUCCUCAUUGAAAGAUUUGUUGGGGGAACCAAAGAUAAUAUCAUCAACAUAUAAUUGGCACACAAACAACUCCCCUUUUACCUUCUUAGUAAAAAGAGUGGGGUCGAUUAGCCCAACUUCAAAACCAUGGUCUUGUAACAACUCGGUAAGGUGGUCAUACCACGCACGUGGGGCUUGUUUAAGGCCAUAGAGUGCCCUAUCGAGUUGAUACACAUGAUCANNNNNNNNNNNNNNNNNNNNNNNNNNNNNNNNNNNNNNNNNNNNNNNNNNNNNNNNNNNNNNNNNNNNNNNNNNNNNNNNNNNNNNNNNNNNNNNNNNNNNNNNNNNNNNNNNNNNNNNNNNNNNNNNNNNNNNNNNNNNNNNNNNNNNNNNNNNNNNNNNNNNNNNNNNNNNNNNNNNNNNNNNNNNNNNNNNNNNNNNNNNNNNNNNNNNNNNNNNNNNNNNNNNNNNNUUAAUAGGACCAUUAAGAAAAGAACUCUUCACAUCCAUUUGUUGUAACUUAAAGUUAUGAUGAGAAGCAUAUGCAAUCAACAUGCGAAUGGAUUCAAGACGAGCAAUGGGAGCAAAGGUUUCACCAUAGUCGAUACCCUCAACUUAGGAGUGGCCUUGUGCUACCAAACGAGCCUUGUUGCGAAUGAUAAUCCCAUGAGCAUCUUGCUUGUUCUUGAAUAUCCACUUGGUUCCAAUGACAUUGUGGUUCCCCGUUGGCCUUGGCACCAAUCUCCACACUUUGUUGUGCUCGAAGUUGUUGAGUUCUUCAUGCAUGGCAUUGAGCCAAUCCGGAUCUUCGAGCGCCUCAUAGACCUUUUGGGGUUCAACACAAGACACAAACGCGUGAUGUUCACAAUAGUUUUCUAACUGUCUAUGAGUGCUUACUCCUUUUCUUAAGCUUCCAAGCACAUUUGUCAUGAGAUGAUCUUUGGUGGAGAGCUUGGAAGCAAUCUUGGCGGCACGACGCUCCAAUUCCUCCUCGGGGUGAGUCGAGGAGUGGUCACUUGAUCAUCUUGAGCGCCGUCUUGAGCUUGCUCUUGAUCUCGAGGAAGCUCUUGAUCUUGAACUUGCUCGGAGGAGAGAACUUGACCUUGGGCAUCACUUGAUGUUACAACACCAUCUUGAGAUUGACCUUGCCCUUGGUCUUGUUCUUGAGGUUGAGGGCCUUCACUUUGUUCUUCGGAAGCGUGUGGGCCUUGGGUUGGUGAUGGCUCCACUUGAGUGGAGCAUUGUCCUUCUCCUUCGGCCACAAGGGAUUCCUCAAUGGGUAGGAUAAAACCAACACCCAUUAUUCUUAUGGCUUGGGGAGGAAUUUCAUCACCUACAUCACAAGUGCCACUUUGCUCCACUUGGGAGCCGUUAUUCUCAUCAAACUCCACGUUACAUGUCUCCUCAAUAAGUCCCGUGGACUUAUUGAGGACACGGUAAGCAUGGGAGUUUGUAGCAUAACCAACAAAUAUGCCCUCAUGAGAUAUAGCCUCAAAUUUAGACAAACGAACACCUUUCUUGAGAAUGAAACACUUACACCUGAACACCCGGAAGUACUUGAGGUUGGGCUUGUUCCUGGUGAGUAUCUCAUAUGGAGUCUUGUUCAAGCCUUUGCGGAGGUAGAGCCGAUUUGAUGCAUGACACGCGGUGUUGAUGGCUUCAGCCCAAAAGUUGUAUGGAGACUUGAACUCUGCCAUCAUGGUCCUUGCCGCAUCCAUCAACGUCUGGUUCUUCCUCGCCGCUACACCAUUUUGUUGAGGGGUGUAUGGUGCGGAAUAUUGAUGCUUGAUCCCCUCAUCACUAAGAAACUCAUCCGAGGUGUAGUUCUUGAACUCGGUGUCGUUGUCACUUCUUAUUGUCAAGAUCUUUGCAUUGUGUUGAUGUUGAGCUUCAUGAUAUGUCCAUUUUGCAUCAUGCUUUUAUAUCAAUAUGCAUUGCAUUAUGGGCUGUUAUUACACAUUAUGUCACAAUACUUAUGCCUAUUCUCUCUUAUUUUACAAGGUUUACAUAAAGAGGGAGAAUGUCGGCGGCUGGGAUUCUGGCUGGAAAAGGAGCAAAUAUUAGAGACCUAUUCUACACAGCUCCAAAAGUCCUGAAACUUCACGGAUGAUGUUUUCCAAAUAUAUAAAAAACAUUGAGCGCAAGAACUUCACCAGGGGGGCCACACCCUACCCACGAGGGUGGGGGUGCGCCCUACCCCCCUGGGUGCGCCCCCCUACCUCGUGGGCCCCCUGGUGGCCCUCCGGUGACCAUCUUAUACUAUAUGGACUCUUUCGAUCAGAAAAAAAUCAUAAGCCAUCUUCUCGGACGAAACUCUGCCGCCACGAGGUGGAACCUUGGCGGAGCCAAUCUAGGGUUCUGGCGGGGCUGUUCUGCCAGGGAAACUUCCCUCCUGGAGGGGGAAAUCAUCGCCAUCGUCAUCACCAACGCUCCUCUCAUCGGGAGAGGGCAAUCUCCAUCAACAUCUUCAUCAGCACCAUCUCAUCUCAAAACCCUAGUUCAUCUCUUGUAUCCAAUUCUUGUCUCCAAGUCCGGGAUUGGUGCUAGUAGGUUGCUAGUGGUGUUAAUUACUCCUUGUAGUUGAUGCUAGUUGGUUUAAUUGGUGGAAGAUCAUAUGUUCAGAUCCUAUAUGCACAUUAAUACCCCUUUGAUUAUGAACAUGUUUAUGCUUUGUGAGUAAUUACUUUUGUUCCUGAGGACAUGGGAGAAGUCUUGAUAUUAGUAGUCAUGUGAAUUUGGUAUUCGUUCGAUAUUUUGAUGAGAUGUAUGUUUUCUCUCCUCUAGUGGUGUUAUGUGAACGUCAACUACAUGACACUUCGCCAUUAUUUGGGCCUAGAGGAAGGCAUUGGGAAGUAAUAAGUAGAUGAUGGGUUGCUAGAGUGACAGAAGCUUAAACCCUAGUUUAUGCAUUGCUUCGUAAGGGGCUGAUUUGGAUCCAUACGUUUCAUGCUAUGGUUAGGUUUACCUUAAUAAUUUUGUUGUAUUUGCGGAUGCUUGCAAUAGAGGUUAAUCAUAAGUGGGAUGCUUGUCCAAUUAAGGGCAGCACCCAAGCACCCGUCCACCCACAUACCGAAUUAUCAAAGUACCAAACGCGAAUCAUAUGAGCGUGAUGAAAACUAGCUUGACGAUAUUCCCAUGUGUCCUCGGGAGCGCUUUACAUCAUAUAAGAGUUUGUCCAGGCUUGUCCUUUGCUACAAAAAGGAUUGGGCCACCUUGCUGCACCUUAUUUACUUUUGUUACUUGUUGCUCGUUACAAAUUAUCCUAUCACAAAACUAUCUAUUACCACUUAUUUCAGUACUUGCAGAGAAUACCUUGCUGGAAACCGCUUAUCAUUUCAUUCUGCUCCUCGUUGGGUUCGACACUCUUACUUAUCGAAAGGACUAUGAUAGAUCCCCUAUACUUGUGGGUCAUCAAGACUCUUUUCUGGCAUCGUUGCCAGGGAGUGAAGCGCCUUUGGUAGGUGGAAUUUGGUAAGGAAAAUUUUAUAUAGUGUGCUGAAAUUUACUGUCACUUGUUACUAUGGAAAGUAAUCCUUUGAGGGGCUUGUUCGGGGUAUCUUCACCCCGACCAGUAGAGCAAAGAGUUGCUCCUCAACCCACUGAACCUACUGAAAAUGAAAAUUCUUGCUUCGAAAUUCCUUUGGGUAUGGUAGAAAAACUGCUAGCUAAUCCUUUUUUGGGAGAUGGAACAAAACAUCCUGAUGAGCAUCUAAUAUAUGUGGAUGAAGUUUGUGGAUUAUUUAAGCUUGUAGGUGUACCCGGAGAUGUUGUUAAGAAGAAGGUCUUUCCCUUAUCUUUGAGGGGAGAUGCAUCGACAUGGUAUAGGCUAUGUGCUGAUAUGGAGUCUUGGAAUUACAAACGAUUGAAAUUGGAAUUUCAUCAAAAGUUUUAUCCUAUGCAUCUUGUUCAUCGUGAUCGCAAUUAUAUAUAUAAUUUUUGGCCUCGCGAAGGAGAAAGCAUCGCUCAAGCUUGGGGGAGUCUUAAAUCAAUGUUAUAUUCAUGCCCCAAUCAUGAGCUCUCAAGAGAAAUGAUUAUUCAAAAAUUUUAUGCUCGGCUUUUUGAUAACAAUCGCACCAUGCUUGAUACUUCUUGUGAUGGCUCUUUUAUGAUGAAGACUAUUGAAUUCAAAUGGGAUUUAUUGGAAAGAAUUAAACGCAACUCCGAAGAUUGGGACCUCGACAAUGCUAAGGAGUCAGGUAUGACACCUAGUUUUGAUUGUGUUAAAUCUUUUAUGGAUACCGAUAUUUUCCGUAAAUUUAGCACUAAAUAUGGACUUGACUCUGAGAUAGUAGCUUCUUUCUGUGAAUCUUUUGCUGCUUAUGUUGAUCUCCCCAAGGAGAAGUGGUUUAAAUAUCAUCCUCCCAUAGAAGUAAAAGUAGCUGCACCUAUUAAAGUUGAAGAAAAGACUAUUACUUAUAAUGAUCCUAUUGUUCCUACUUCUUAUGUUGAGGAACCACCUUUCCCUGUUAGGAUAAAGGAUCAUGCUAAAGCUUCAACUGUGGUUCGUAAAAGCAAUAUUAAAACAUAUACACCUCUUGAGCAAGUUAAAGUUGAACCUAAUAUUGCUAUUGUUAAAGAUCUCUUGUCUGAUAAUAUAGAUGGGCAUGUUAUUUAUUUCUGUGAUGAAACUGCUAGAAUUGCUAAACCUCGUGAUGCGGAUAAACCUAGAUCUGUGAUAGGUAUGCCUGUUAUUUCUGUUAAAAUAGGAGAUCAUUGUUAUCAUGGCUUAUGUGAUAUGGGUGCUAGUGCUAGUGCAAUACCUAUUGACUUAUACAACGAAAUUAUGCAUGACAUUUCACCUAUUGAGUUAGAAGAUAUUGAUAUCACAACUAAACUUGCUAAUAGAGAUACUAUUUCACCAAUGGGAAUUGUUAGAGAUGUAGUCUUGUGUGGGAAAACUAAAUAUCCUGCUGAUUUUCUUGUUCUUGGUUCCCCACAAGAUAGCUUCUAUCCCAUUAUAUUUGGUAGACCCUUCUUAAAUAUUGUUAAUGCUACCAUAGAUUGCAAAAGAGAUGCCGUUACUGUCGGUUUAGAUGAUAUGACUCAUGAAUUUAAUUUUUCUAUAUUUAGUAGACAAUAUCGUGAAGAAGAAUUACCUAGUAAAGAUGAAAUUAUUGGUCUUGCCUCUGUUGCCGUACCUCCUAGUGAUCCUUUAGAACAAUAUUUACUAGACCAUGAAAAUGAUAUGUUUAUGAAUGAAAGAAGGGAAUUAGAUGAAGUAUUCUUUAAACAGGAACCUAUUCUGAAACAUAAUUUACCUGUUGAAAUCCUAGGAGAUCCUCCUCCACCCAAGGGUGAUCCCGUGUUUGAGCUUAAACCGUUACCGGAUACUCUUAAAUAUGCUUAUCUUGAUGAGAAAAAGAUAUAUCAUGUUAUUAUUAGUGCUAACCUUUCAGAACAUGAAGAAGAGAGAUUAUUAAAAAUUCUGAAGAAGCACCGUGCUGCUAUUGGGUAUACUCUUGAUGAUCUUAAGGGCAUUAGUCCCACUCUAUGUCAACAUAAAAUUAAUUUGGAAGAAGAUGCUAAACCAGUUCGUGAUCAUCAACGUCGGCUGGAUCCUAAAAUGAAAGAAGUGGUAAGAAAGGAGAUACUAAAGCUCCUUGAGGUAGGUAUAAUUUACCCCAUUGCUGAUAGUCAGUGGGUAAGCCCUGUCCAUUGUGUCCCUAAGAAGGGAGGUAUUACUGUUGUUACAAAUGAUAAAGAUGAAUUGAUUCCUCAAAUAAUUAUUACUGGUUAUAGGAUGGUAAUUGAUUUCCGCAAAUUAAAUAAGGCUACUAAAAAAGAUCAUUACCCCUUACCUUUUAUCGAUUAAAUGCUAGAAACAUUAUCCAAACAUACACAUUUUUGCUUUCUAGAUGGUUAUUUUGGUUUCUCUCAAAUACCUGUGUCAGCCAAAGAUCAAUCAAAGACUACUUUUACUUGCCCCUUUGGUACUUUUGCUUAUAGACGUAUGCCUUUUGGUUUAUGUAAUGCACCUGCUACCUUUCAAAGAUGCAUGAUGGCUAUAUUCUCUGACUUCUGUGAAAAGAUUUGUGAGGUUUUCAUGCACGACUUUUCCGUCUAUGGAUCUUCUUUUGAUGAUUGCUUGAGCAACCUUGAUCGAGUUUUGCAGAGAUGUGAAGAAACUAAUCUUGUCUUGAAUUGGGAAAAGUGCCACUUUAUGGUUAAUGAAGGUAUUGUCUUGGGGCAUAAAGUUUCUGAAAGAGGUAUUGAAGUUGAUAAAGCCAAGGUUGAUGCUAUUGAAAAGAUGCCAUGUCCCAAGGACAUCAAAGGUAUAAGAAGUUUCCUUGGUCAUGCUGGUUUUUAUAGAAGGUUCAUUAAGGACUUCUCAAAAAUCUCUCGGCCUCUGACUAAUUUAUUACAAAAGAUAUACCAUUUGUCUUUGAUGAUGAUUGUGUAGAAGCAUUUGAAAUACUUAAGAAAGCAUUGAUCUCUGCACCUAUUGUUCAGCCACCUGAUUGGAAUUUUCCCUUUGAAAUUAUGUGCGAUGCUAGUGAUUAUGCUAUAGGUGUUGUUCUAGGACAAAGAGUUGAUAAGAAACUAAAUGUUAUUCAGUAUGCUAGUAAAACCCUAGACAAUUGUAGCAACCAGACCUCAAACAGUCUGAUCUCUGUGCUCCGGUGUGAUCCCUGGAUCAGUAAUGUUGACACCACACAGUACUCGGAGGAUUUAUAACAGAGUAGCAAUCACACACUUAUUACAUCGAGUGUCUCAAACGAGAACUUAUUACAAUAAAUAUGGCUUAAGGCCAUCUAAUAACGAUAACAGCGGAAGGCUUGGAAGAUAAGUGAGUUCAUCAACUCCAACGGCAUCACUGAGUAUAGAACCACGACCUAAAAACUCCUUAAUCGUCGUCUGAAAAGUCUGCAACAUUAGUUGCAGCCCAAAACAGGUCAGCACAUGGAAUAUGCUGGCAAUGUAACACAUAGAGGGUAAGGAAUGAAACAGCUAUACUAUAUGCAUAUUUGGCUGGUGGAAAGCUCUAUGGUUACAGUUUUGCGUAAAGCCAAUUUUCCCCUACUACAAAGGAAUAAAUUUUAUUUAACUAUCAUGGUAGUUGUUACACAUUGAGAAUGGUUGACAGCAUCCUCAAUCCCAAUUAAGCAUCAUCAUUAAACAAAACCCAACAAAAUUAAUUUGGAGUAACAUGUUGAGAUUCACAUGAUAAUCCAGGUACUAGAUACUCAAAAUGUCCAUAACCGGGGACACGGCUAACCAUGAUUAGUUUAUUACACUCUGAAGAGGUUUGCGCACUUUUCCCCACAAGUCUUGGUCGCCUCCGUUUGGUUUCUCGCACUACAAGGUGUUUGAGAAGACGGAUGACCAAGACAUAGUCUUUCAGAAGCGCUAGCACCUUACGAUCGGGUAGACCAUACCACCUACAUCCCCUACAUCUGCUAGUCUACCACUGUAAGAGUUCGCACGACUUAGUCAACUAUGCUAGAGCCCAUAAUAGCUUGUGGCUGCACACGGAAGUUUCUAGUAUGAAUAGUCUCAUGAUCCCUUUGAGCCUGGGUGGCGGUCCAAAAGAAAACAGGCAAGUCCUGGAAUACCCAGGUGCCUCAAUCCACCCAGAUGUGUUUUUAAGUUGCCACCUUAGAUAAACCAUUCAUUAACAAAACUCAUAUCUGUCAUGGAUAUCACUCACCCAAUCCACGUCUACUAGCAUAGCAUGGCAUAAUAAGCAAACGCGGAAGUAACUCCCAAAGGUUUGAUAAUAAACAGGUAAUAGGUACUACCUCAACUACUUCCCAUCCCACAAUUUAAUUAGAUCCUAAUCAUGCAAUGUGUGAGGAUUUGAUCUAAUGCAAUAAAACUGGGUAGUAGAAAAGGUAUGAUCAAAGUGUUACUUGCCUUGCUGAUGAUCCGCGAAACCUAGAGAUUCGAAGUAACAAGCAGUGCACUCCGGGUAUUCUAUCGCAGACAAACAAACAAGCAUACAAUAAGUACUCAUCUAAUGCACGGGUAAAACUAAAAUAGGAGAUCUAACCAGAAGGUUCAAUUUAAGAACUCCGAUUUGCAAAAAGAAUCAAAUCGAACGAAACAACGAAAGUCAAACGGCGAAAGAAAACAAGUUCGUUCUACCAAUCUGGAUCUAGGGCAAUUUUUACAGUAGCAAAAUCUUGUUUAAGUUGGUUAAACGGAUAGAGGGUUUCGAGACGAAACUCCAGGCGCUUGAAUCGCCUGAUUCCGAUAAACGAGCGAAAAGUUAUACUAAAACGAAAAUCGGGUCAGGAAUCGCGAUCAAAAAAAUCGCGGAUUAAAUCCGAGAAAAAGAAAAAAACGACGAACGUUCGCUAGAACGAACGAACGGACGAACGCUCUCUAUUUAAAUAAACCAGAAAAGCCGAUCUAUUUAAAAAACAGAAUCUAAAAAAACUGACACAAAAUCGACGGUUUUUCGAAAAAACUAAAAAAAAUCGGCACGGAAACGAGGCGGCGAACCUCGGGCGGCGUGCGGCGGCGGNNNNNNNNNNNNNNNNNNNNNNNNNNNNNNNNNNNNNNNNNNNNNNNNNNNNNNNNNNNNNNNNNNNNNNNNNNNNNNNNNNNNNNNNNNNNNNNNNNNNNNNNNNNNNNNNNNNNNNNNNNNNNNNNNNNNNNNNNNNNNNNNNNNNNNNNNNNNNNNNNNNNNNNNNNNNNNNNNNNNNNNNNNNNNNNNNNNNNNNNNNNNNNNNNNNNNNNNNNNNNNNNNNNNNNNNNNNNNNNNNNNNNNNNNNNNNNNNNNNNNNNNNNNNNNNNNNNNNNNNNNNNNNNNNNNNNNNNNNNNNNNNNNNNNNNNNNNNNNNNNNNNNNNNNNNNNNNNNNNNNNNNNNNNNNNNNNNNNNNNNNNNNNNNNNNNNNNNNNNNNNNNNNNNNNNNNNNNNNNNNNNNNNNNNNNNNGCGGGCGCUGGGGCUGGGGCAGCUUAGGGUUUCGGCUGGGGCUGGGCCUCCCCCGGAUUAUAAAGGCUAGCCGGGCCGGAGUCCUAGUCGGACACGGCCCGUAGGUCGGUUCGUUUUUUUUACGCGCAGAAGAAAAAUAAAAAGAAAUACUAAACGGACUCCAAAAAUUCUGAAAUAAAUUUUCACGGGCUUCUAAAAUCAAGCCUCACAAGGUGAACAUUUAUUUGGGGCCUUGCAAUUUUGAAAAACGCACAUUUUUCCUAAAUUCAAAUAAAACACCGAAAAACUUCGAAAUAAAAUCUUAUUUGAUUUUAUUAUUAAAUCCUCAAUAUUUCUUUAUUUUGGGAAAGUCAUUUUAUUCCCUCUCUCAUAUUUUUGUAAUAUAAAUAAUUGAUGAUAAAAUAAUUAAAAUCAAAUGAUCCUAUUCUCAAAAUUUGAGAAAACUCAAAUAUGAAAAUAACGAAAUCCCCAACUCUCUCCGUGGGUCAUUGAGUUGCGUAGAAUUUCUAGGAUCAACCAAAAUGCAAAAAUAAAAUAUGAUAUGCAAUGAUGAUCUAAUGUAUAACAUUCCAAAUUGAAAAUUUGGGAUGUUACAAACCUACCCCCCUUAAGAUGAAUCUCGCCCUCGAGAUUCGGGUUGGCUAGGAAAUAGGUGAGGGUGGUCCUUGAGAAAUUCUUCCUCUCGUUCCCAGGUGGCUUCAUCCUCUGUGUGGUGGCUCCACUGAACUUUGCAAAACUUGAUAACCUUGCUUCGAGUGACUCGAUUGGCAAACUCGAGAAUCUUAACGGGUCUCUCCACGUAGGUCAAAUCGUUAUCCAACUGAAUAGUUUCCAAAGGCACUGUGUCUCUCAACGGUAUGUCAGCCAUCUCCGCGUGACACUUCUUCAACUGGGAAAUGUGGAACACAUCAUGAACUCCUGACAAUUCUUCAGGUAAUUCCAACUUGUAGGCCACUUCUCCCAUAUGCUCCAAAACUCGAUAUGGUCCUACAAAUCGUGGCGCUAACUUCCCUUUAACUCCAAAACGCUUUGUUCCCUGAAGUGGAGAUACUCGAAGAUAAGCUCUGUCUCCGACUUUGUAAACUGUCUCCUUGCGUUUAGAAUCUGCAUAACUCUUCUGUCUGGACUGGGCUACCUUGAGCCUAUCGCGAAUCAACUUCAUCUUCUGUACAGACUCUUUAAUCAAGUCAGGUCCAAACAACUGGCGGCCUCCAACUUCGUCCCAUGACAGCAGUGUCCUGCACCUCCUUCCGUACAAGACUUCAAAAGGGGCCAUCUUUAAACUAGUUUGGUAACUGUUGUUGUAAGAGAAAUCUGCAUAUGGCAAAUUGUCGUCCCAACUAGAUCUGUAAUCUAGCACACAAGCUCUCAGCAUAUCCUCCAAAAUCUGAUUGACUCUCUCGGUCUGUCCAUCUGUCCGUGGAUGAAAAGUUGUACUGAAUUCUAGCCUGGUACCCAAAGUUUCAUGCAACUGCUUCCGGAACUUUGAGGUAAACUGGGUUCCUCUAUCUGAUACGAUACUCCUUGGAACUCCAUCAAACAUACGAUCCUGGUCAUGUAUAUCUUCGCCAACUUAGCACUGGUGUAAGUGGUCUUUACUGGGAUGAAAUGAGCUACUUUCAUCAAUCGAUCAACUACAACCUAAAUCGAGUCGUAGCCUGAACGAGUCAUGGGUAAUCCCGUGAUAAAAUCCAUGCCUAACUUAUCCCACUUCCAUUCGGGUAUCGGUAAUGGUUGUAACACUCCUACUGGCUUCUGAUGCUCUGCCUUUACUCUCUGACAUACAUCACAAACUGCUACAUACCCCGCAAUAUCCUUCUUCAUUCCGGUCCACCAGAAAAUAUCCUUCAAAUCCAAAUACAUUUUGGUAUUUCCUGGGUGAAUCGAAUAUUGUGAAUCAUGUGCCUCUUGCAGAAUCAACUUCCUAAUCCCGGGUCAUUGGGCACAUAAACACGGUCUUCAAACCAUAGGGUGUCGUGCUCAUCCUCACGAAAUCCUUUAGCUUUUCCUUUGCUCAGUUUCUCCUUUAUAACGGCAAUCUCUUUGUCAGUCUUCUGAGCUUCUCUGAUUCUAUCCAUCAAGGUUGACUGAAUCUCCAAUGCUGCUACAUAGCCUCUCGGAACUAUUUCCAAACAUAGUUCAUGAAGAUUUUCUGCUAACUCCUUGGGUAUUUCUCCCGUCAUUAACGUAUUGACAUGGCUCUUAUGGCUUAAGGCGUCAGCUACUACAUUAGCCUUUCCAGGAUGGUAUUGCAAUCUCAUAUCAUAAUCCUUGAUGAGUUCCAACCAUCUCCUUUGUCUGAGAUUCAACUCCUUCUGUGUGAAAAUUUACUUCAAACUCUUAUGAUCCGUGUACACCUCACAAUGGUUUCAAAUGAUGAAAUGCCUCCAUGUUUUCAAAGCAUGCACUACAGCUGCUAACUCCAAAUCAUGCAUGGCAUAAUUCAACUCAUGAGGCUUCAGUUGUCUUGAGGCAUAUGAAACAACUCUCCCUUCCUGCAUAAGCACUGCUCCAAGUCCUCGAUGUGAAGUGUCGCAAUACACCUCAUAAUCUUUGGUCUGGUCUGGCAAAAUCAACACUGGUGAGGUAACCAAAUGUUCCUUCAACUCCUGGAAACUAGCCUCACAUUCCUCCGUCCAUAUGAACUUGGUAUCUUUCUUUAAUAACUCCGUCAUAGGCUUCGCAAUCUUUGAGAAAUUCUCAAUGAAUCUCCGGUAGUAUCCUGCGAGUCCAAGAAAACUCCGGAUCUCUCCAACGGUAGUUGGUGCUUCCCACUUGCUCACGGUAUCUACUUUGGUAGGAUCUACUGCUAUACCUUCUCCAGAUAUAACGUGUCCGAGGAAUCCUACUUCCUUCAACCAAAACUCACAUUUGCUGAACUUGGCAUAUAAUUGAUGUUCUUUGAGCUUUCCAAGUACCAAACGCAAAUGCUCCUUAUGCUCCUCUUCAUUCUUCGAAUAAACCAGGAUAUCAUCAAUGAACACUACGACGAACUUAUCCAAAAACUCCAUAAAUACUUUGUUCAUCAUGUUCAUAAAAUAGGCAGGUGCGUUAGUCAGACCAAAUGACAUAACGGUAUACUCGUACAGCCCAUACAUGGUGGUAAAAGCUGUCUUAGGAAUAUCCUAUUCUCAAAUCUUCAACUGGUGGUAUCCUGAUUGCAGAUCGAUCUUGGAAAAUACCUUAGCUCCUUGCAAUCGAUCAAACAGAUCAUUGAUCAUUGGUAGUGGGUACUUGUUCUUAAUUGUUACUUCGUUCAAUCCUCGAUAAUCAACAACCAUCCUUAACAAUCCAUCCUUCUUCUCCACUAGAAGUACUGGCGAUCCCCAAGGCGAAGAACUUGGGCAAAUAUAUCCCUUAUCCAGUAACUCCUUAAUCUGCUUCUUAAUUUCUACCAAAUCCUUUGCUGGCAUCCUAUAUGGUCUCUUUGAUAUUGGCCCGGUGCCUAGCAAUAGCUCAAUCAAAAACUCAAUAUAUUUAUCCGGUGGCAUGCCUGGCAACUCCUCUGGAAAUACUUUAGGGAAAUCCCUUACCACUGGUACUUCCUCCUGCACAACUCCUGUUAAGCAAUUUACUUGAGUCCUCUUCGGCACAUGUCGGGAUACAUACUUGAUCCUUCUCCCUUCUGGGGUGGUAAGCAAAAUUGACUUACCAGCGCAUUCAAUAUUUCCUUCAUACUUUGAUAACCAAUCCAUGCCUAAUAUCACAUGCAAUCCUUGAGAUUCCAAUACUAUUAGUUCUGAGGGAAAAACAUAGUUACCAAUCCUUAAUGGUAACCGAUCACACCAUAGACUAGCCACAUACUCUGCUCCAGGCGAGGUUACUAACAUGGGUGACCUAAGGGCUUGGGUUGGUAGGUUAUAGUUAUCCACAAAUCCACUGAAGAUGUAUGAAUGUGAUGCACCCGUAUCAAAAAGAACGAGUGCGGUAAAUGACUUAACCAGAAACUUACCUAUUACUGCAUCAGGCUGAGCUUCAACCUCCUCCACGCUAACGUGGUUCACCUGUCCCCUAUUAAAAGGGUUCGGCUUCUUCCCAGAGCUUCCAUUGCCAUUUCCAUUUUGUAUCUCAUGGCAUUCAUUGGCAUAAUGUCCGGUCUUCGAACACUUAAAGCAAGUGACUUGGCUCAGGUCCUUCUUGGCUGGGGUUGAUGGGUUGGUGCGAUUCUGGCCAUUGCUUCCUCCAUUUCCAUUACCAUUCCUGGUGCCAUUGUGAUUGUCCGAGCUACCUCCUCCAUGGGUAUGCUGGAAAUGUCCUCCCGGUCUAGGGGUAAAACGUGGCUUCUGCUGAGCUCCUAAAGUGUACUUUCCUUGUCCAUUCUUCCUCUUGUGAUUCUCAAUUUGCUGCUGCUUCCCUUCAAUCAUAAGAGCACGAUCUACCAACUCCUGGUAGUUAUUGAAGGUUGCUACCAUCAACUGCAUGCUCAACUCAUCAUUCAGUCCUUCCAGAAACUUCUCCUGCUUAGCUGCAUCCGUAGCGACGUCAUCUGGAGCAUAAUGUGCUAACUUACUAAAGUCCUCCACAUACUGGCCAACUGUCCGUCCUCCUUGGCGCAAGUUGCGAAACUCAUGCUUCUUCAUGGCCAUAGCUCCUACUGAAACAUGCGCAGUACGAAAAGCCUGCUGAAACUGGUCCCAUGUGACAGUCUCAACAGGGAAAGUGGCUAUGAAAUUCUCCCACCAUGAUGUUGCUGGUCCUUCAAGUUGAUGUGCGGCAAACUUCACCUUCUCCGCAUCUGUGCAUCCUGCUGUGGUCAACUCUCUAGCUGUCUUGCGGAGCCAAUCAUCUGCUACUAUCGGCUCGGUGCUACUGGAAAACACCGGUGGAUUCAGCCUAAGAAAACGGGCUAUGUGGUCAACUGGUGGUGGUGGUGGUGGGUUGUUGUUGUUCCCCUGAUUCUGAUUCUGGACUAGCAACUGCAUCAAUGUGUUCUGCUGCUGGAUCAACUGAGUGAGCUUCGGUGGAAAGGUAAAUCCGGGGUCACGUCUCAGAGGCAUCUCAGGGUUUAGAAAAGAUGAGAUGUAAGAAUAGAGGGGGUCUAAAGAGAAAACACUACCCAUAUGAACAUGAGGCAAAAUCAAACAAUUCACUUCAUUCAAUCAAACAAGGGCAUACAAUCAAUCUAACUAUCGCAAAAGUGCUUGGACUACUAUAUUUACAUGGUGGACUACUACUAUUGGUGAGGUGGUCUACUAGAAAUAUUCUUCGGUUGCAAACUCCAUGAUAUCUGCUCCAGCUUCAUCAACAUAGUCAUCAUCGCUUCCGUCUGGAUCCGAAUCGGUGUCGUCGAUGAUGAUGUAGUCUUCCGGGCUAAUCUCCUUGGGUUCUUCGUCUUCCUCUACUGGUGUAGGGCCUCCCAUAAAUAUUCCAAUCUUCUUGAUCAGGUCGUCAUUUUUCUCCACCAAUACUUCAAUUUCUUCUUCAUAAUCUUCACGUGUAGCCUUGAGUUCUUCCUCCAGUUCCUUGAUUCUAGUCUUAGCCUUCUUCAGAUCUAUCAUGUCGGCACACAUCUGGUUCUCCUGUCGUCGAAUGUGCUGGUUUAGCUCCUGAAUAAAAGCUGCAAUUGAUCUAUCCUUCCUGGUGCUGAUCAUCUCCCAGUGCUCAUCUCGGCGCCCACAAAUCUGGUAGAUUGUAUCCUUGAGGUCAUUGCGGUAGACUUCUCCAAUGCGUCCCAUGGCGAUGUGAGCUGCCAUGCUCAUUCCCAGACUCCAAGUUGGUGCAUCAAAAGAAAACUCUAUGGGCUCAGUGACUGGCAUGAACGUCCUUCCUGGAACUUGAACUUGAAUCAUCCAGCGCUCUUCUUCAGGUAAAGUGGCGUUGUAGGUUCCGGUGAAGCUUGGUAUUCCUAUGUUCAGGUAUCUAGUGACUUCCUUCAAGUGACGUCCAAAGGGUGUAUCUUCAUCUGGUUGCGUGAACUUGUUCCUUGCAUCCGCCAUCCUAAAGAGUAGAAAAGAUGAGAGGUCAGAAGAGAAGAGAGUGAAUAGUGAUCUAGGUCUCUAACUUAGUGGUCGUGUCCUACAGUCAGCGUGUGCUCUGAUACCAUCUCUGUAGCGACCAGACCUCAAACAGUCUGAUCUCUGUGCUCCGGUGUCAUCCCUGGAUCAGUAAUGCUGACACCACACAGUACUCGGAGGAUUUAUAACAGAGUAGCAAUCACACACUUAUUACAUCGAGUGUCUCAAACGAGAACUUAUUACAAAAAAUAUGGCUUAAGGCCAUGUAAUAACGAUAACAGCGGAAGGCUUGGAAGAUAAGUGAGUCCAUCAACUCCAACGGCAUUACUAAGUAUAGAACCACGACCUAAAAACUCCUUAAUCGUCGUCUAAAAAGUCUGCAACAUUAACGUUGCAGCCCGAAAUGGGUCAGCACAUGGAAUAUGCUGGCAAUGUAACACAUAGAGGGUAAGGAAUGAAACAGCUAUACUAUACGCAUAUUUGGCUGGUGGAAAGCUCUAUGGUUACAGUUUUGCGUAAAGCCAAUUUUUCCCUACUACAAAGGAAUAAAUUUUAUUUAACUAUCAUGGUAGUUGUUAAACAUUGAGAAUGGUUGACAGCAUCCUCAAUCCUAAUUAAGCAUCAUCAUUAAACAAAACCCAACAAAAUUAAUUUAGAGUAACAUGUUGAGAUUCACAUGAUAAUCCAGGUACUAGAUACUCAAGAUGUCCAUAACCGGGGACACGGCUAACCAUGAUUAGUUUAUUACACUCUGCAGAGGUUUGCGCACUUUUCCCCACAAGACUCGGUCGCCUCCGUUUGGUUUCUCGCACUACAAGGUGUUUGAGAAGACGGAUGACCGAGACAUAGUCUUUCAGAGCGCUAGCACCUUACGAUCGGGUAGACCGUACCACCUACAUCCCCUACAUCUGCUAGUCUACCACUGUAAGAGUUCGCACGACUUAGUCAACUAUGCUAGAGCCCAUAAUAGCUUGUCGCUGCACACGGAAGUUUCUAGUAUGAAUAGUCUCAUGAUCCCUUUGAGCCUGGGUGGCGGUCCAAAAGAAAACAGGCAAGUCCUUGAAUACCCAGGUGCCUCAAUCCACCCAGAUGUGUGUUUAAGUUGCCACCUUAGAUAAACCAUUAAUUAACAAAACUCACAUCUGUCAUGGAUAUCACUCACCCAAUCCAUGUCUACUAGCAUAGCAUGGCAUAAUAAGCAAACGCGGAAGUAACUCCCAAAGGUUUGAUAAUAAACAGGUAAUAGGUACUACCUCAACUACUUCCCAUCCCACAAUUUAAUUAGAUCCUAAUCAUGCAAUGUGUGAGGAUUUGAUCUAAUGCAAUAAAACUUGGUAGUAGAAAAGGUAUGAUCAAAGUGUUACUUGCCUUGCUGAUGAUCCGCGAAACCUAGAGAUUCGAAGUAACAAGCGGCGCACUCCGGGUAUUCUAUCGCAGACAAACAAACAAGCAUAAAAUAAGUACUCAUCUAAUGCACGGGUAAAACUCAAAUAAGAGAUCUAACCAGAAGGUUCAAUUUAAGAACUCCGGUUUGCAAAAAGAAUCAAAUCGAACGAAACAACGAAAGUCAAACGGCGAAAGAAAACAACUUCGUUCUACUAAUCUGGAUCUAAGGCAAUUUUUACAGUAGUAAAAUCUUGUUUAAGUUGGUUAAACGGAUAGAGGGUUUCGAACGAAACUCCAGGCGCUUGAAUCACCUGAUUCCGAUAAACGAGCGAAAAGUUAUACUAAAACGAAAAUCGGAUCAGGAAUCGCGAUCAGAAAAAUCGCGGAUUAAAUCCGAGAAAAAGAAAAAACGACGAACGUUCGCUAGAACGAACCGACGGACGAACGCUCGCUAUUUAAAUAAACCGAAAAAACCGAUCUAUUUAAAAAAACCGAAUCUAAAAAAAACCGACGAAAAACCGACGGUUUUUCGAAAAAAACUAAAAAAACGGCGCGGAAAACAAGGCGGCGAACCUCGGGUGGCGUGCGGCGGCGUCGGCGUCCGGCGGUGGGGCGGCGGUGGUGUUGGCGCUGGCGGCGGCGGGCGCUGGGGCUGGGGCGGCUUAGGGUUUCGGCUGGGGCUGGGCCUCCCCCAGCUUAUAAAGGCUAGUCGGGCCGGAGUCCUAGUCGGACACGGCCCGUAGGUCGGUUCGUUUUUUUUACACGCAGAAGAAAAAUAAAAAGAAAUACUAAACGGACUCCAAAAAUUCUGAAAUAAAUUUCCGCGGGCUUCUAAAAUCAAGCCUCACAAGUUGAACAUUUAUUUGGGGCCUAAAUGUAAUUUUGAAAAAUGCACAUUUUUCCUAAAUUCAAAUAAAACACCGAAAAACUCCGAAAUAAAAUCUUAUUUGAUUUUAUUAUUAAAUCCUCAAUAUUUCUUUAUUUUGGGAAAGUCAUUUUAUUCCCUCUCUCAUAUUUUUGUAAUAGAAAUAAUUGAUGAUAAAAUAAUCAAAAUCAAAUUAUCCUAUUCUCAAAAUUUGAGAAAACUCAAAUAUGAAAAUAACGAAAUCCCCAACUCUCUCCGUGGGUUGAAUUGCGUAGAAUUUCUAGGAUCAACCAAAAUGCAAAAAUAAAAUAUGAUAAGCAAUGAUGAUCUAAUGUAUAACAUUCCAAAUUGAAAAUUUGGGAUGUUACAACAAUGCUCAAAGAAAUUAUGCUACUACUGAAAAAGAAUUCUUAGUGGUUGUAUUUGCUUGUGAUAAGUUUAGACCUUAUAUUGUUGAUUCUAAAGUAACUAUUCACACUGAUCAUGCUGCUAUUAAAUAUCUUAUGGAAAAGAAAGAUGCUAAACCUAGACUUAUUAGAUGGGUUCUCUUGCUACAAGAAUUUGAUUUACAUAUUGUUGAUAGUAAAGGAGCUGAGAACCCCGUUGCAGACAACUUGUCUAGGUUAGAAAAUGUGCUUGAUGACCCACUACCUAUUGAUGAUAGCUUUCCUGAUGAGCAAUUAAAUGUCAUAAAUACUUCUCAUACUGCUCCAUGGUAUGCUGAUUAUGCUAAUUACAUUCUUGCUAAGUUUAUACCACCUAGUUUCACAUACCAGCAAAAGAAAAAGUUCUUUUAUGAUUUGAGGCAUUACUUUUGGGAUGACCCACAUAUUUAUAAAGAAGGAGUAGAUGGUGUUAUUAGACGUUGUGUACCUGAGCAUGAACAGGAACGGAUCCUAUGCAAGUGUCACUCCAAAGCUUAUGGAGGGCACCAUGCUGGAGAUAAAACUGCACAUAAGGUACUACAAUCUGGUUUUUAUUGGCCUACUCUCUUCAAGGAUGCCCGUAAGUUUGUCUUAUCUUGUGAUGAAUGUCAAAGAAUUGGUAAUAUUAGUAGACGUCAAGAAAUGCCUAUGAAUUAUUCACUUGUUAUUGAACCAUUUGAUGUUUGGGGCUUUGACUAUAUGGGACCUUUUCCUUCCUCUAAUGGUUAUACACAUAUUUUAGUUGCUGUUGAUUACGUUACUAAGUGGGUAGAAGCUAUUCCAACUAGUAGUGCUGAUCAUAACACUUCUAUUAAAAUGCUUAAAGAAGUUAUCUUUCCAAGGUUUGGAGUCCCUAGAUAUCUAAUGACUGAUGGUGGUUCACAUUUUAUUCAUGGUGCCUUCCGUAAAAUGCCUGCUAAAUAUGAUGUUAAUCAUAGAAUUGCAUCCCCUUAUCACCCUCAGUCUAGUGGUCAAGUAGAAUUGAGUAAUAGAGAACUCAAAUUAAUUUUGCAAAAGACUGUCAAUAGGUCCAGAAAGAAUUGGUCCAAGAAACUUGAUGAUGCAUUAUGGGCCUAUAGAACUGCAUAUAAAAACCCUAUGGGUAUGUCUCUGUAUAAAAUGGUCUAUAGAAAAGCAUGUCACUUACCUCUCGACCUAGAACACAAGGCUUAUUGGGCUAUUAAAGAACUAAAUUAUGAUUUUAAACUUGCUGCUGAAAAAAGGUUAUUUGAUAUUAACUCACUUGAUGAAUGGAGAACCCAAGCCUACGAAAAUGCCAAGUUGUUUAAAGAAAAAGUUAAAAGGUGGCAUGAUAAAAGAAUACAAAAGCGUGAGUUUAAUGUAGGUGAUUAUGUAUUGCUAUACAACUCUUGUUUAAGAUUUUUUUUGCAGGAAAACUUCUCUCUAAAUGGGAAGGUGCUUACGUUAUCGAAGAGUUCUACCGUUCCGGUGCCAUAAAAAUCUACAACUUCGAAGGCACAAAUCCGAAGGUGGUAAAUGGUCAAAGAAUCAAACAUUAUAUCUCAGGUAAUCCCAUAAAUAUUGAAACCAAUGUUAUUGAAACCAUAACCCCUGAGGAGCACAUAAGGGACACUUUCUGGAACAUUUCAGACUCCGAAAAGGAAUAGGUAUGUGGUACGGUAAGUAAACUGACUCCAAAAGAGUUUUUAAGGCAAUAUUUCUCCGUUUUGGAAUAUUUAGAUAAAUAGAAAAAUAAGCAGCGGUCCGAAAAGGACACGAGGGCUCCACGAGGGUGGAGGGUGCACCCCCCUACCUCGUGGGCACCUCGUGUGCUCUCUGGACUCCGUUUUCUUACAGGACACGUAUUUUGGAUGGUAAAAAUUCAUUAUAUAACCUCCCGGGGGUUUUGACUCCCGUAUCACGCAAAAUCCUCUUGUUUUUGUUUCGGGUUGUUUUCUGUCAGGGUUGUCAAGGCCAGGCACUAUGUCGUCUUCCUCCUCCUCCAACCAUGAAGGCAACGAUGCUUGGCUAAUGAAGAUAGAGCUAAAGAGAGAAGAACAUAUGGAGAUCAACAAGGAUGAAGGGAUCAAGAAGGCCAUGGAGGACCAAGUUCCAGCAACAGAAGACACCCUUCAACUGGAUCACAAUCUUCUUACCCCAACAGAAAUUGAAGCUUCCAAGAUGAUUGAGUUGGCUCGUAUACAAAAUAAGUAUCUCACACAUGAAAAUAUUUUGUUGAAGGAGCAUAUCAUCGCACUCAAGGGCAUUAUCCGCAAGCUAGAAGACCUCCUACGCUCGAUGUGCGACUAUCCAUCAUCAACAACUCCACCUUCUUCUCCAACAAAGAAGAAUUGAGUAUCUGGUAUGGGCACUCCACUUGGCAACUGCCAAGCUUGGGGGAGUGCCCCGGUAUCGAAUCACCAUACCUUUUAUCUUUACCGUUUUUGUUAGUUCGAUCCUUUUGGUAAUAUCUUGAUCUAGUAGAAUAAAAUUUCUUAGUAUGAUCUAGUUGUGAGUUUUGCUUUGUUAUCCUUCUAUGUAAUCGAGUCCGUGAGCUAUAUAAUAAAGAUUAGUGUUGAGUCAAGGGCUUGAUUAUUUUUGCCAUGAUCUCAAGUGAAUAAAAGAAAAGAGAAAGAAAUAAAAAUAAACAAAGAGAUCAUGUGACUCUUAUGGAGAGUAAUGAGCUCACAUAGAAAGAGUAUGAUGAAUAAAAGUUAUUGAGGGUUGACAAACAUAGUUUUGGUCAUCGUUGCAAUUAAUAGGAAGUAAUAAAGAAAGAGAGGUCUUCACAUAUAAAUAUACUAUCUUGGACAUCUUUUAUGAUUGCGAGCACUCAUUAAAAUAUGACAUGCUAAAGAGUUGACAUUGGAUAAGGAAGACAACAUAAUGGGUUAUGUUUUCUUACAUCUGAGAUAAAUUAUAUUGUCUUGGAUCCUCCAACAUGUUGAGCUUGCCUUUCUCCCUCAUGCUAGCCAAAUUCAUUGCACCAAGUAGAGAUACUACUUGUGCUUCCAAAUACCCUUAAACCAGUUUUGCCAUGAGAAUCCACAAUACCUACCUAUGGAUUGAGUAAGAUCCAUCAAGUAAGUUGUCAUCGGUGCAAGCAAUAAAAAUUGCUCUCUAAAUAUGUAUGAUUGAUUGGUGUGGAGGAAAUAAGCUUUAUACGAUCGUGUGAUAUGGAAGUAAUAAAAGCGACAGACUGCAUAAUAAAGGUCCAUAUCACAAGUGGCAAUAUAAAGUGAUGUUAUUUCACAUUAGGAUUUUGUGCAUCCAACCAUAAAAGUGCAUGACAACCUCUGCUUCCCUCUGCGAAGGGCCUAUCUUUCUUUUAUCUCCUACACUGCAAAAGAGUCAUGGUGAUCCUCACCUUCCUUUUUACAUUUUAUCCUUUGGCAAGCACAAUAUGUUGGAAAGAUCACGGUAUAUAUGGCUAAUUGGAUGUGAGUUUUCAUGAACUAUUACUGUUGACAUUACCCUUGAGGUAAAACGUUGGGAGGCAAAACUAUAAGCCCCUAUCUUUCUUUGUGUCCGAUUAAAACUCCAUACCCAUAAGUAUUGCGUGAGUGUCAGCAAUUGUGAAAGACUAUAUGAUAGUUGAGUAUGUGGACUUGCUGAAAAGCUCUUAUACAUUGACUCUUUCCUAUGUUAUGAUAAAUUGCAAUUGCUUCAAUGACUGAGAUUAUAGUUUGUUAGUUUUCAAUGAAGUUUACGAUCUAUACUUGAUAUUGUGAUUGAAUUAUUACUCUAGCAUAAGAUAUCAUAUGACAAGAAUUAUAUAAGUUGCUGCUCUAAGAAUGAUCAUGAUGCCCUCAUGUCCGUAUUUUAUUUUUAUCGACACUUUCAUCUCUAAACAUGUGAACAUAUUUUCCGAUUUUGGCUUUUCGCUUGAGGACAAGCGAGGUCUAAGCUUGGGGGAGUUCAUACGUCCAUUUUGCAUCAUGCUUUUAUAUCAAUAUUCAUUGCAUUAUGGGUUGUUAUUACACAUUAUGUCACAAUACUUAUGCCUAUUCUCUCUUAUUUUACAAGGUUUACAUAAAGAGGGAGAAUGCUGGCAGCUGGGAUUCUGGCUGGAAAAGGAGCAAAUAUUACAGACCUAUUCUGCACAGCUCCAAAAGUCCUGAAACUUCACGGAUGAUGUUUUCCAAAUAUAUAAAAAACAUUGAGCGCAAGAACUUCACCAGGGGGCACACCCUGCCCACGAGGGUGGGGGCGCGCCCUACCCCCCUGGGCGCGCCCCCCUACCUCGUGGGCCCCCUGGUGGCCCUCCGGUGACCAUCUUCUGCUAUAUGGACUCUUUCGAUGGGAAAAAAUCAUAAGCCAUCUUCUCGGACAAAACUCCGCCGCCACGAGGCGGAACCAAUCUAGGGUUCUGGCGGGGCUGUUCUGCCGGGGAAACUUCCCUCCCGGAGGGGGAAAUCAUCGUCAUUGUCAUCACCAACGCUCCUCUCAUCGGGAGAGGGCAAUUUCCAUCAACAUCUUCAUCAGGACCAUCUCAUCUCAAAACCCUAGUUCAUCUCUUGUAUCCAAUUCUUGUCUCCAAGUCCAGGAUUGGUGCUAGUAGGUUGCUAGUAGUGUUAACUACUCCUUGUAGUUGAUGCUAGUUGGUUUAAUUGGUGGAAGAUCAUAUGUUCAGAUCCUAUAUGCACAUUAAUACCCCUCUGAUUAUGAACAUGUUUAUGCUUUGUGAGUAGUUACUUUUGUUCCUGAGGACAUGGGAGAAGUCUUGCUAUUAGUAGUCAUGUGAAUUUGGUAUUCGUUCGAUAUUUUGAUGAGAUGUAUGUUGUCUCUCCUCUAGUGGUGUUAUGUGAACGUCGACUACAUGAAACUUCACCAUUAUUUGGGCAUAGAGGAAGGCAUUGAGAAGUAACAAGUAGAUGAUGGGUUGCUAGAGUGACAGAAGCUUAAACCCUAGUUUAUCUGUUGCUUCGUAAGGGGCUGAUUUGGAUCCAUAUGUUUCAUGUUAUGGUUAGGUUUAUCUUAAUACUUUUGUUGUAUUUGCGGAUGCUUGCAAUAGAGGUUAAUCAUAAGUGGGAUGCUUGUCGAAGUAAGGGCAUCACCCAAGCACCGGUACACCCACAUACCAAAUUAUCAAAGUAACGAACGUGAUCAUAUAAGCGUGAUGAAAACUAGCUUGACGAUAUUCCCAUGUGUCCUCGGGAGCGCUUUACAUCAUAUAAGAGUUUGUCCAGGCUUGUCCUUUGCUACAAAAAGGAUUGGGCCACCUUGCUGCACCUUAUUUGCUUUUGUUACUUGUUGCUCGUUAUAAAUUAUCCUAUCACAAAACUAUCUAUUACCACUUAUUUCAGUACUUGCAGAGAAUACCUUGCUGGAAACCGCUUAUCAUUUCCUUCUGCUCCUCGUUGGGUUCGACACUCUUACUUAUUGAAAGGACUACGAUAGAUCCCCUAUACUUGUGGAUCAUCACUUCAUUUGCAAAGUCAAUGACGGUUUGUUGGGUCUCACUCUUCCUCUUGAAGAAAUAUACCCACGUGUAUCUUGAAUAAUCAUCCACAAUCACCAAGCAAUACUUCCUACCCCCAAGACUAUCAAAAGAUGGAGGCCCAAAGAGAUCCAUGUGAAGGAGCUCCAAAGGCCUCUUUGAGUAAAUGAUAGUCGUGGGAGGGUGACCUUUUCAUGUAGCUUUCCUUCGAUACAAGCACUGUAAGCAUGAUCUUUGGCAAAGGUAACAUCUGUUAGUCCACAAACAUGGUCCCCCUUGAGAAUACCUUGCAAAGAUCUCAUAUUGACAUGGGCUAGACGGUGAUGCCAAAGCCAUCCCACGUCAACUUUAGCCAUUAGGCAUGUCAUGGUCUUAGUGAGUCGCUCUGAAAAGUUAAUCACAUAGAGACCAUUUUCGACAUGCCCAACAAAGGCUAUUUUAAGAGUCUUGCUCCACAAGAGGGCCACGGUAUCAACAUCAAAGAAGGUGGCAAAACCCAUGAGUGCUAGUUGACGAACGGAAAGUAAAUUGUAUGCAAGGGACUCAACAAGCAUGACCUUCUCGAUCGUAAGAUCAUGAGAAAUAACAACCUUGCCGAGUCCCAAUAGCUUAGAGGACGAGGCGUCACCCCACUCGACGUUGGUGGGCAUGGAUGGAAUCUUUUGCAUGUCCACCACCAAGUCCUUGCUUCCGGUCAUAUGAUUAGUAGCUCCACUAUCGAGCAACCAUGAUCCCCCACCGGAAGCAAACACCUACAAGAGAUCAAUGCUUGGUUUUAGGUACCCAUUUUUGUAAUGGGUCCUUUGAUGUUAGUAACAAGGGUCUUAGGAACCCAAAUAGACCAUUCAAUGUACUCAUAAGGAGAACCAACAAAUUUGGCAUAAACAUGCCCAUCACUAGCACGGCACAACACAUAAGAAGGGUUAAAGUCGCCGGCUUUGUUGGGAAGGGAAGCGUUGCCCUUCUUGGCAUCACUACCCCUCAUGGUGUUCUUCUCCUUCUCCUUAGGAGCACCCUCUCCCUCCUUCACAAAGGUUUUCUUGAGAGGAGGAGGUCGUUUGGCCUUGUCAUUCUUCUUCUUGUUCUUGGACUUGGGCACGUACCCAAUCCCUUCUUUGGCCACAAAUUCCUUUUGGUUGCUCAAAAGGUCGUUGAGGUUCUUCUCGCCUUGUAUGCAAGACACAAGACCUUUCUCAAGUUGCACCUUCAACUUAGCGUUCUCCUCAACAAGAUGCACAUGCUCACAACAUGGGCUAGUAGCAUUUGCAUUAUCAAUUAACAUCAUACGAGGAAAAGUGGCUUUCUCCUUGGUUAGCUUUACUUGAAGUUGAUCAUGAGACUCUUUGAGGCUAGCAUGAGCACCCUUCAAGACCUUGUGAGCCUUGUCAAGUAGGUCAAACUCCUCUUUGAUUCUAGCAAGAUUAACCCCAAGCUUGGCCUUCUCGUAGUUUAGCACACAAGAAACAACAAGAGCAUGAUCAAAAUCUUUCUUUAACUUAGCGUGAUCAACGUUGUGUGACUCCUCAAGAGCCAAACGAAGACCUCGAUCUUCCUCAAGAGCAUUGGAAAGAUCCGAAAUCUCAUCGGCAUAGUCACGACUAUGCCCCUCCAUCUUGGAGAAAGUAUCUUCAUGAGCCUCGAUCAUGUAAUUGGCUUCACCAAGUUGUUCCAAGAGAGCAACGAAAUGCUUCUUGGAUUUACCCUUGAGUUUACCCAUAAAGGACUCAAACUCAUUUUCCUCCACAUUAGAUCCCUCAUAUUCAUCAAUGCAAUCCGUCAAGGAAGGAUUAUUAAUGAUGGUAGUUUUGAUGUUGGGGGUUACCUUGUUGGUGGCUUUAGCCAUGAGGCACUUGGCGGUGAUGUUCUCAUAGGGUGAGUCGAAGAGAGACACUCGUGGAGUUGUUGCAAUGGCAACGAAGGCCAUGGCAACCGACUCACCAUCUUCAUUAUCAUCACCAUCCUCAUGGUACUCUUCUUGAACCACCAACGCCUUGUGAGAAGUCUUCUUGGUGAAGUUGCUCUUGUUUGGGAAAGACUUGGCUUUGUCCUUUCGGGUGAGCUUGCCACCAUUGUAUUCCCUCUUCUCAUACGGGCACUCCGCAAAAAAAUGGCUCACAUUCCCACAAUUAUAGCAAGUCCUCACAUGUUGCUUGCUCUUCGUGCCACUUGAGUUGUUCUUGUUGAAGUUUGGCCUUGAGUUUUUCUUUCUCCAAAAUUCCCUUGAAGCAAGUGCCAUGUGUUCAUGAUAGGCAUACUUUGUAUCUUUGGGGUUGCUUUCCUCUUAUUCCUCUUAUUCUUCUUCUUCAACACAAACCUUGGCCUUCAAUGCAAGGUUGGGCUUCUUUGCCCUUUGAGAGCGAAGCACCGCAUUGUCGGCAGUCUUGUCCAAGAUGCUCAUAGCCACAAACUCAUCCAACACUUCACUUGAGGACAAGGUGUGGAAGUCAGGCCUUUGACGAAUGACGGAGGACAUGGCCUUGUGGUAAGGCAUCAUUGCCUUGAGGAAUUUGUGCUUGAUCCAAUUGUCAUCCGUGUCCUUGCUCCCAUGAUCUCAGAGUGAAACCGCGAGUUUGGUUACUCUUCGAUAAAGCUCACGAGGUUCUUCAUCUUCCUUCAUUGCAAACUCAUCGGCUUCAUCUUGCACCACUUCAUAGUUGGAGCGUUGAAUGCUUGCGCUUCCCCGGUAGAGAGAAACAACUUGGUGCCAUGCAUCUUUGGCUAUGGCGUAGGGUCGGAGGUGAGGAAGAUCUUCGGGUGGAAUUGCAUCUUGGAUGAUGAAGAGAGCAUUCUCAUUGAAUUGAUUAUCCACGGCUUCUCUUGGAGUGAAGUUGCUUCGGUCAUGUGGAUAGAAACCUUCUUCAAUGAUUCUCCAAAGAUUAGUAUUCACAUGAUUUAAAUGACGCUUAAACCGAUAGACCCAAGAAUCAAAGUCCUCAUUUUUCACAAUCUUAGGGGGAGGACCGGCAUGAUUCAAAUGAGUGCAAGGAAUCGGUCCACCAUAAACAAGUGGAGGUUCCACAUGGGCAAAGAUGCCGGUGCCAUUUUUACCACUAGAAGGAGCCUUUCCACUAGUAGUUUCCCCCUUGUCGGAGUUAGCAUCCGUCACCUUGUUAGUGGGAUCACCCACUUUCAACGGUGCGGUGGAUAGUUUAAGCCCUUCAAUGAAUUUAGUAAACAUGCUUUCAACCUCAGUCGUCAUGGAGGUUUUCAAUGUCUCCAAGGCCACAUUGAAUUCCUCACGAGAGACCGAGGUUCCCCCAUCGCCCGUAGACGAGAUCGCAUUAACACCAGAGUGCUCCUCCACACCGUCUACGGUGUCAACCAUACUCUUCGGACGGCAAAGUCCUUAGUAAAGAGACGAGGCUUUGAUACCAAUUGAAAGGAUCGAUAUAGUUGACUAGAGGGGAGUGAAUAGGCAACUAACAAUUUUUAACUUUUCUUUACCAAAUUAAACUUUGCAUCAAAGUAGGUUGUCUAGACAUGCAACUAUGUGAGCAACCUAUAUGAUGCAACAACAACAAGCACACAAGCAAUCAAGGGAAAUAACACAAAUAAACUUGCACAAGUAAAGGUACGAGAUAACCAAGAGUGGAGCCGGUGGAGAUGAGGAUGUGUUACCGAAGUUCCUUCCUUUUGAGGGUAAGUACGUCUCCAUUGGAGCGGUGUGGAGGCACAAUGCUCCCCAAGAAGCCACUAGGGCCACCGUAUUCUCCUGACGCCCUCACACAAUGCGAGAUGCCGUGAUUCCACUAUUGGUGCCCUUGGAGGCGGCGACCGGACCUUUACAAACAAGGUUGGGGCAAUCUCCACAACUUAAUCGGAGGCUCCCAACAACACCAUGAAGCUUCACCACAAUGGAAUAUGGCUCCGCGGUGACCUCAACCAUCUAGGGUGCUCAAACACCCAAGAGUAACAAGAUCCACAAGGGAUUAGUGGGGGGAAUCAAAUUUCUCUUGGUGGAAGUGUAGAUCGAGGCCUUCUCAACCAAUCCCUAGAAAAUCAACAAGUUUGAUUGGCUAGGGAGAGAGAUCGGGCGAAAAUGGAGCUUGGAGCAACAAUGGAGCUUAGGGUUGGAAGAGGUAGUCAACUCGGAGAAGAAGAUACCCCUUAUAUAGUGGAGAGACAAAUCCAACCGUUAUCCACUUAACCAGCCCGCGACAUGUGGUACUACCGCGCCUGCCAAGCGGUACUACCGCAAGGGCUCACAGUACUACCGCACCUCCUUGCGAUACUACCGAAAGGCAGGGUUGGACCAGCCUGGGAAGGCCGUGGACAAAUAAACAUCCGUGGCCAGUUCCGCUGAUUUUCAAAUAGUGCAAAAGUCCGACACGGUACUACCGCCGAAGACAAGCGGUACUACCGUGCAGGGAGCAAAUGUAAAAAAUUACAUCCGCUCCUACUUCCGCUACUGGUGCUGUGCCGGACCAGGACUCACGGUACUACGGCUCCCAAGGAGCGGUACUACCGUGGCCUCCUGCAGUACUACCGCAAGGGCCUGCGGUACUACCGCUCAUAAGAGAAGUACUACCGCAAGCCCCAGAACAGCAACACUAGGAAAUCUUCUUUUUGCACAAACUCGAAGAAAUGGAGAAUGCUCCAAAGUGGUAAGGGAAAGGCGGAGUAAAUAGGAGUAAACGUGUACGUGACAAUUCCACCCAAACCUUUCCAAAGCGAACCCCCUCUUAAUAGUACGGGUUUCCUACGACUCAAAUUCACCAAAAAGGAAUGAAAAAAAAUGUCGUCUUCAAUAAUCUUCGAGGGGCUCCUAACCGUCUUGUGCCUAGUCAUGAAAUAUCUGAAAUACUCGAGACACACGAUUAGUCCGCAAAUGCAUUGUCAUCAAUCACCAAAACACCUUAGGGAUAAAUAUGCCCUUACAGUUAGUCAUGCCUUUUGGGUUAACUAAUGGACCUAGUACUUUCAUGAGAUUAAUGAACGAAGUUUUACGUGGUUUCAUUGGACGAUUUAUGGUAGUCUAUUUUGAUGAUAUACUGAUUUAUAGCAGAUCUUUGGAGGAACAUUUGGAACAUUUAUGUGUUGUUUUUAUUGCUUUACGUGAUGCACGUUUGUUUGGUAACCUUGGGAAGUGCACCUUUUGCACUGACCGAGUAUCUUUUCUUGGUAAUGUUGUUACUCCACAGGGAAUUGAAGUUGAUAAAGCCAAGAUUGAAACUAUUGAGAGUUGGCCACAGCCCAAAACGGUCACACAAGUGAGGAGUUUUCUUGGACUCGCUGGUUUCUAUAGGCGUUUUGUGAGAGAUUUCAGCACCAUUGUUGCACCUCUCAGUGAGCUUACAAAAAAGGAUGUGCCUUUUGUUUGGGGUACUGCACAGGAAGAAACCUUCACGGUAUUGAAAGAUAAGUGGACACAUGCUCCUUCACUCCAACUUCCUGAUUUUAAUAAGACUUUUGAGCUUGAAUGUGAUGCUAGUGGAAUUGGAUUAGGAGGUGUGCUAUUACAAGAUGGCAAACCUGUUGCAUACUUUUCUAAAAAAUUGAGUGGGCCUAGUUUGAACUAUUCUACUUAUGAUAAAGAAUUAUAUGCUCUUGUUCGGACCUUAGAAACAUGGCAACAUUAUUUAUGGCCCAAAGAAUUUGUUAUAUAUUCUGAUCAUGAAUCUUUGAAACACAUUAAAAGUCAAGCAAAACUGAACCAUACACAUGCUAAAGGGUUGAAUUCAUUGAGACUUUCCCUUAUGUCAUUAAACACAAGAAGGGUAAAGAAAAUGUUAUUGCCGAUGCAUUGUCUCAUCAUUAUACUAUGCUUUCACAACUUGACUUUAAAAAAUUUGGUUUGGAGACCAUCAAAGAUCAAUAUGUGUAUGAUGCUAAAUUUAAAGAUGUAUUGCAGAAUUGUAAGGAAGGGAGAACAUGGAACAAGUUCAUCGUUAGUGAUGGAUUUGUGUUCCGUGCUAACAAGCUAUGCAUUCCAGCUAGCUCUGUUCGUCUUUUGUUGUUGCAGGAGGCGCAUGGAGGAGGAUUAAUGGGACACUUUGGCGUGAAGAAGACGGAGGACAUACUUGCUACACAUUUCUUUUGGCCAAAGAUGAGACGGAUGUUGAGCGUUUUGUUGCUCACUGCACUACAUGUCAAAAAGCUAAGUCACGACUGAAUCCUCAUGGUUCAUAUAUGCCUUUGCCUGUACCUAGUGUUCCUUGGGAGGAUAUAUCUAUGGACUUUGUUUUAGGUUUAACUCGAACAAAGAAGGGGAGGGAUAACAUAUUUGUUGUCGUGGAUAGAUUCUCGAAAAUGGCACACUUUAUACCAUGUCAUAAAAGCGAUGAUGUUGUUAAUGUUGCUGGUUUGUUCUUUCGUGAAAUUAUUCGCUUGCACGGUGUGCCAAAUACUAUUGUUUUAGAUCGUGAUACUAAAUUUCUUAGCCACUUUUGGAGAUAUUUAUGGGCUAAGUUGGGGACUAAACUGCUUUUUAGUACUACUUGUCACCCCCAAACUAAUGGACAAACUGAAAUAGUCAAUAGAACAUUGUCUACUAUGCUUAGGGCUAUUUUGAAGAAUAAUAAGAAAAUGUGGGAAGAAUGCUUGCCUCAUAUUGAAUUUGCUUAUAAUCGUUCAUUGCAUUCUACUACUAAGAUGUUCCCUUUUGAAAUUGUGUAUGGUUUCCUACCUCAUGCACCUAUUGAUUUGUUGCCUCUUCCAUCUUUGGAGAAGGUUAAUUUUGAUGCUAAACAACAUGUUGAAUUGAUUUUAAAAAUGCACGAGUUAACUAAGGAAAGCAUUGAGCGUAUGAAUGCUAAAUAUAAACUUGCUGGAGAUAAGGGUAGAAAACAUGUUGUGUUUGCACCUGGAGAUCUUGUUUGGUUACAUUUGUGUAAGGAUAGAUUUCCUAAUUUGCGCAAAUCAAAGCUAAUGCCACGUGUUGAUGGUCCUUUUAAGGUGUUAGAGAAAAUAAAUGAUAAUGCAUAUAAACUUGAGCUGCCUGCAGAUUUUGUGGUUAGUACCACUUUUAACAUUGUAGAUUUGAAGCCUUAUUUGGGUGAGGAAGAUGAGCUUCCGUCGAGGACGACUUCAUUUCAAGAAGGGGAGGAUUAUGAGGACAUCAAUACCAUUGUUAUACCCACAACCCCUGCUGCUAUACGUAUUGGACCAAUUACUAGAGCUCGCGCACGCCAAUUGAAUUACCAGGUACUUUCGUUUUUUGGUAACGAUUCUAAUGUUCAUGAGAAUAUGAUGCUGCCUAAAUUGGAUACAUUUGUUUUGCUUACAAAUGAAGGGCCUAGCUUGGACAAGAAAGGUGAACCUUGGAGCAAGUUCAAGCAUGGAGAUGAUGGCAUGCGCAACGGAACAAGAACGGAGUUACAAGUGAUGAUUCCAGGACUUUGAAGCCACCAUAAUGAGUGCAUGAAGCCUUGGAUGAAAUAUACAAGAUGUCACUUCAUAAAUUUCAUCCAGAGGCUAUUCUAGGUGUUGCGUCACCUUAUUUUUGGGUCAGCCCCAUGUAAUUUUGAAAUACUUGAUUAUAGGUUGUUUUUAGAGUCCGUAUGUGUGGGGAAACAAGAGUUAGGGUUGGUUUUGUCUCCCUCCUUCAAGGGCCACGAAAUUCCCCCCUCUUUCCUCCAUAUAUACAACCCUUAGGGCAUCGUUUAGACUUUGGGUUUUGUUUAGAUUAAAAGUACGCCAUAGCUGCAACUUCGCGUACUUCGUUUGUGUUCAACGACCAGACCAAUACGUCACAGUCCCCCACCUUGAUCAAUAAAGCUUUCAUCUUAUAUUCGCAAUAUCCAUAUUAGAAUCUCAGUUUCUUGCUUAUUCUUCGUUUGCUUGCAGGAAAUAGACCUUCGUGGUCAGGUUGAUCGUGCUCCGGCGUAGUCAAUAACCUCUCGGAGUUGGUUUAGCGAUUGCUAAGGCGCGACGUCCUCGCACGUUCGUAGUCGGGUCGUCAAAGUCUACUCCACCAAAACGAUAACCACCUUCUCAUCGAAUGACGAGACACCUUAGCCUCUAUCAUCUGUUGGGGCCUAUUGUUCUGUUCCUGCCCCAACAAGACAUGUUUAUUUCUGUUUUUCUAUAGGGAUAACUCUAUACUUGUAUGAAAUAUGUCGUGGUGGUUAAUGUAAAGGGGAAACCCUUUUUCGACUUUUCAAGCUACCAUAGUGGGUUACCCAAGUAUGACUAGCUUGACAAGUUCAGUGACAGAGAAUGCAUUUUUUACUCUAAAGCAAUCAACUAGUUUAGUUUGUGUGCGCAUCUCAGCUAAUGUGUCAAUAACGCAUUUUACUAGCAAGUUCGGUGAUAGUGAACUACACAUCUCAGCUACCCAUUUGUGUGGUUUAACUACACAUAUCAUGCAAGUUUAUAGACUAAUAAAACUAUAGAAAAGUUGUUGAUUUUGGGAAAUCUUUGACGAUGUCAAUUUUCUGCUUGCCGAAACAUUAUCUAGCCAAUUUUUGGUUGUAUAAACUGUGCUCUUACUCGAAGUUAGAACUGCUCAUGUUUGAGCAAAGCAUAUGAUAGAGUAGAAUGAAAGUUUCUUGAAGACAUGAUGAUAAAACUAGGAUUUAAAAGGGUCUGGGUCCAGCUGAUAAUGAAGUGCAUAACUAGUGUAAAAUAACAAAUUAAGGUAAACCAGGGCAAAAUUGAUGUGAUCGUACCUCAGAGAGGACUAUGCCAAGGAGAUUCUUUAUUCUCAUACUUAUUUUUGUUUUGCGCUGAAGGUUUCUCUGCAAUGUUGAAUGAAGCUGAAGCAAAUGGAAAGCUCAGAGGCAUAAGAAUAUGCAGAAACACCCCUAGUGUUAGCCGCCUCCUCUUUGCGGAUGACUCAUUAGUGUUAAUGGAGGCAAAUGAGGGAGCAGCACAAGAGGUAAACAUGAUAUUGAGUACAUAUGAAAAGUGCUCAGGGCAAAUGAUAAACAAGGACAAAUCAUCAAUUUUCUUUAGCAAAAAUAAGGAUGAGGGACGAAAAAACAUUAUGAAGAGGAUCAUGGGCAUCAAUGUGGAGGGCUUAACUAGAAAAUACUUAGGCCUUCCUACAUAUAUUGGCAAAGGAAAAGCAAAGAAUUUCGCUAUAUUCGAGAGAAGGUCUGGAAAAAAAAACAGGAAUGGAAGGAGAAACUGUUGUCAAAAGCAGGGAAAGAAAUAUUGAUAAAAACUGCGGCGCAGGCAAUUCUAGUGUAUGCAAUGGCAUGCUUGGACCUGACCAGAACCUUCUGUGACGACCUGAGUGCUCUCAUAGGACGCUAUUGGUGGAGCCAAAUGGAUAAGACCAAUAUAAUCCAUUGGAUUAAUUGGGAAAAGCUAUCAAAGCCAAAAAAAGAUGGAGGUAUAGGUUUUUGGAACCUGCACUAUUUCAACCUAGCUAUGUUGGCUAGACAGGCAUGGAAAAUUCUACAGAAUCCCCAUUCCUUGUGCUCCCAAGUGUUGGCUGCCAGAUAUUUCCCAAAUGGAUCAAUGCUUGAGGCUAUUCCUUGUGCAUGUAUUUCCUAUACUUGGCAAAGCAUAAUAAAAGGCAUACAAUUGCUGGAGAAAGGGAUAAUAUGGAGAGUGGGAAACGGGGAAAGGAUCAAAAUAUGGACUGGUCCGUGGAGGAAACACACGGAGGCCCAAUACACCAAAAGGUAACCAUCUGGUGGACAAAGUAGCUGAUUUGAUCAACCCGAUAACAAACCAAUGGGAUGUGCAGCUGGUACAACAGACAUUCUCGGCUGAGGAUGCAAACCUCAUCAUGCGAAUACCCAUUCAAGAAGAUACAGGUGAUUUCAUUGCAUGGCAUUAUGAUAAAAAAUGAUCAUUUUCUGUUAAAUCAGCUUAUAAGGUGGGUGUAGAUAGUGCAGCUAGAGAUUUUGUAUAGGGCUAACUUCAACUUCCAUUGCAGAAGGGGAAAUCUCAAGCUUCAACUGGAAGAAGUUAUGGGCGCUCCCUCUACCAAACAAAGUACUACACUUCUUAUGAAGAGUUGCGACGUACAACCUUCCCUUGCGAAUGAAACUUCAUAGAAAAGGUAUUCCUGUUGAUACUAGGUGCCCUCUUUGUUAUAGAUUGGAUGAGGAUGGAGGCCACCUCUUUUCUUAAUGCAAAAAAAGUUAAAAAUCCGUGGAGAGCAUCUCAACUUGAACACAUCAGACUAAAGUUAGUCGAAUGUCAUGACCGAAAGGAAGUGUUUGAAAACAUUUUCACUUCAAAGAAAACCGAAUGCUUGAAAGUUUGCUUACUUUUAUGGUUAUGGUGGCAUGAAAGAAACAACGCUAGUAAGGAUGAACCCACAAGAAGUAUUAUCUUCAAUUGACUUGCGUGAAGGACAAGACAAAGAAGGAAGAGAUGAGCAAGCAAGCAAAACAUGAGUGGAAGCCACCUCCGAAGGGAAUUCUCAAGAUAAACACAGAUGGAUCCUUUACUGAAGAAACACAGUCAGGAGGCUGGGUUUCACCGUCAGGAAUGCUCCUGGCAGCAGGUGCUCGAAGUCUGAAUCAAGUCUCCAGUCCAUUGCAUGCUGAAGCUUUGGCCCUUCAGCAAGCAACUAUUACUGCUACUCAUUUGGGCUGCCAACAAGUGAUAUUUGAAACAGAUUCCACAAGGCUGAAGGAAGCAAUAACAAGUAACAACCUAUGAUCUUUCAGCUUUAGGCACUUUGUGUACAGAUGUGAAGUUUAAGGUGCAUGUAGGUCUGAAUGUUGUGAGUGUGAAUCAAUCUAGCCGUGGUUGCAAUAAAGCAGCAAAUAUGUUAGCUGCGAGUGGAGUCUAUAUUGAGAGUGGGUGCUAUGAGACUCGGCUUGGCCACUUUCCGCAACCUGUACUAGACGCUGUUGCUGGUGAUAUGGCCAGCGAGUAAUCGUAAUAGAAAUUUGUGUUUGCUUUCAAAAAAAAUAACUGCUGAUGUUUGAUGUAGCUUGGCUGUAAACCGUGCUCUGACCAAGCUAGCAUCGGUGCCAUUGGAAGCGAGAAACAUAUCAAAAAGAUGAAUUUUGUGACAGCAUACUGACUAAGCACGAGGAGCAAAUCCACACAGGAUUAAGAUAUUGUAGCACAACAGGCUGAUAGAGGACGAUUACAUAGUAGAUGGGCACACAACCAAAGCAGCUGGGACAGCAGCACACCAGAGUUCAGACCCAUGCUUAGGUCAACAACCAGUCAUUGCGGAACAUGAUAAUACUAGGUGGAUUACGGCAGCUUCUCUCUCUCUC